AAUAUAUUCACGGACGUUAUAUUAAAAGUACAUCUUCCGUUCAGUAACGUUAAAUGAUGCCGUUAAGACCUCCGUGUCUGAGGCGAAAACCGCGUCUGUUUUUUUUUUAUAUAUAUAACAACAAUUUUCAACCCAAACUUGGGUUAAAACAUCCCAAAGUCCUACCCAAUGGUCUCAACCCAGCAUUUGGGUUGAAAAAACAACCCAGCGUUUUUUAGAGUGU